rnacentral:sRNA from 1 species
GGCUUGCUCUGCUCUUUACCUGGGGUUGCUGUCGAGGACCCUGUGCAAGACUCGGCCGGUUUUUCUUUCUCCCUGAUGGACAGACCCAAACAUAGCCGCGCAGCAUCGUGAAGGGCUGGGGCCUUCACUCCUCUGUGGCUCUGGAAGAGCCCGGUUUCCUCAGGAGGCAUGUCGGGCCCCAGGCCUGUGGUGCUGAGCGGGCCUUCGGGAGCUGGGAAGAGCACCCUGCUGAAGAGGCUGCUCCAGGAGCACAGCGGCAUCUUUGGCUUCAGCGUGUCCCAUACCACGAGGAACCCGAGGCCCGGCGAGGAGAACGGCAAAGGGAGGUGAUGCAGCGUGACAUAG